UCCUGCUCAAAGUGAUGUCAAUGGAAAUUGGCAGAGCCAGGUUCCAACACAAACAUCUGGGUCCAAGUGACUGCUUGGAACCAUUGCACUACAGUGUGCGACUCGGAGGAGGGAAUUACCAUCAUCAAAAUGGUCAAGCUCGACUGAGUCGUGGCUGGAUACUAGCAUGAACAUCACGAAACAGAAGCCAAACUCUAGGAAGAGUUGAGCUGCGGAUUCUUAUUUCCAUCGUCUGCCCACAAAUCUGCACAGGGUAUGUUGGUGCUCAACAAAGAGUCUGUCAAAAUCAGACGCCAAGUCCUGAAUCAGCUCAUCCAGCGUUUUCUUCUGCAAAAGCCUCUUGACAUUUAUCCUCAGCGACUCUGCCUUUGUAACGUUCUGCUUGGUGAACACGAGGGGCCACUUAGAAACAAAAGCGAAUACCAACAAGGGCCGGCAGGGGGCGGCAGACCACAUCUUGUUCUGGGGCCGCAGCCCUAGGAGCCUGCAAAACCUGUCGCACCCAAGUAUCCUCAGUGGCUUCGGGCAGCAGAUGGGUUCAAGUCCUUCUGAGGCUGCAAAAUCUGCCAGGAGCAGGGCUGAAAGUGAGAAAGCAACCCAAGGCCAGGGGUGGGAGGUGGUGCGGGCAGUGGCCCGUUCCUGCGGACCACUCCUGCUCCAGGGGGAGCGGAGGCUCCGGGAAGGCUGGAGCCGGCCGGGGCAGCAGCGGCCUGCAUUCCCGCAGAGUCACGGGGACCCACUGCAGGGGCGGGGGCACCCGCGGCGCUGCCUGGGCAGCCAGGGUCCCCACCCUGCGAGGAGGGACAGGCAGGACCGUCGCCCCGCUGGGUGUUGGUUUGGGGUUCGCUGUCUGCCCUGCGCUCCAGGAAAUGACCGUCUCCCGCCAACGGCUGGCUCCUGGACCACACCUCAGGUGGCUUGGUGGACAGAGCAUGAGGCCAGUGAGGGACAAUCUCACUUUCUUCCCUGAUGCUCCAUACCAUAAACUUUGAAUUAAAAAACAAAAACAAACAACAACAAAAAAAAAAGGUAGGAAAGGUUUUGGAGGAGGACUGUCCUCUGUGUCUCUUUUGGAUUAAUUCAAACCCAGAGAGGUAAUGGCCAGGUUGGGAAGAGAGUGUCAGGGAGCUCCAAGACCUGUAAUUUUGACCAGAAAAAAUAAAUAAAUAAAUAAAUAAAUAAAUAA